AGAGUUUGAUCCUGGCUCAGAAUCAACGCUGGCGGCGCGCCUAACACAUGCAAGUCGAACGAGAAAGGGGAGCAAUCCCUGAGUAAAGUGGCGUACGGGUGAGUAACACGUGGGUUAUCUACCUUCUGGUGGGGAAUAACUCUGGGAAACCGGAGCUAAUACCGCAUAAGUCCGAGAGGAGAAAGCAGCAAUGCGCCGGAAGAGGAGCCCGCGGCCGAUUAGCUAGUUGGUAGGGUAAAAGCCUACCAAGGCAAAGAUCGGUAGCCGGCCUGAGAGGGCACACGGCCACACUGGCACUGAAACACGGGCCAGACUCCUACGGGAGGCAGCAGUGGGGAAUCUUGCACAAUGGGGGAAACCCUGAUGCAGCGACGCCGCGUGAGCGAUGAAGCCCUUCGGGGUGUAAAGCUCUUUCGGCAGGGAAGAUGAUGACGGUACCUGCAGAAGCAGCUGCGGCUAACUACGUGCCAGCAGCCGCGGUAAUACGUAGGCAGCAAGCGUUGUUCGGAGUUACUGGGCGUAAAGGGUGUGUAGGCGGUUUGGUAAGUCUGGUGUGAAAUCUCCCGGCUCAACUGGGAGGGUGCGCCGGAAACUGCCGGACUCGAGUGCGGGAGAGGAGAGUGGAAUUCCUGGUGUAGCGGUGAAAUGCGUAGAUAUCAGGAGGAACACCGGUGGUGUAGACGGCUCUCUGGACCGUAACUGACGCUGAAACACGAAAGCGUGGGUAGCAAACAGGAUUAGAUACCCUGGUAGUCCACGCCCUAAACGAUGCAUAUUUGGUGUGGGUCAUUCAGUUGAUCCGUGCCGGAGCUAACGCGUUAAAUAUGCCGCCUGGGGAGUACAGUCGCAAGGCUGAACUCAAAGGAAUUGACGGGGGCCCGCACAGCGGUGGAGCAUGUGGUUCAAUUCGACGCAACGCGAGACUUACUGGGCUCGACGGCUGGUUACGGCGGUGGAAACAUCGCUACCUCGCAGGGGUCCAGUCGAGGUGCUGCAUGGCUGUCG
rnacentral:rRNA from 1 species